ACUUGUCUUUUAAAUAAGGACUAGUAUGAACGGCAAGACGAAAGCUUAACUGUCUCCUUUACCCAGUCAAUGAAACUGAUCCCCCAGUACAAAAGCUGGAAUUCAAUAAUAAGACGAGAAGACCCUAUGGAACUUUAAGCACGCACCAACCAAUGUUUAACCACAAAAGGCUUGACACGCUGCUUUUGGUUGGGGUAACCACGGAGAAAAACUAUCCUCCAAGAAAUCAAACCAAGUAACACAAAACAAAGUUCCAUCACUUUUCCCAUCGACCCAGUACAACUGAUCAACGAACCAAGCUACCCUAGGGAUAACAGCGCCAUCUUCUUCAAGAGUCCAUAUCGCCAAGAAGGUUUA
rnacentral:rRNA from 1 species